UACGUAGGGGGCUAGCGUUGUCCGGAAUCAUUGGGCGUAAAGAGCGUGUAGGCGGCCAGAUAAGUCCGCUGUGAAAUCUCGAGGCUCAACUUCGAGCUGUCGGUGGAAACCAUCUAGCUAGAGUCCGGAAGAGGAGAGUGGAAUUCCUGGUGUAGCGGUGAAAUGCGCAGAUAUCAGGAAGAACACCCGUGGCGAAGGCGGCUCUCUGGUACGUGACUGACGCUGAGACGCGAAAGCGUGGGGAGCAAACAGG
rnacentral:rRNA from 1 species